UCCCUGGUGGCUCAGACAGUAAGAAUCUGCCUGCAAUGCAGGAGACCCAGGUUCAAUCCCUGGGUGGGGAG
rfam:Ovis aries breed Texel chromosome 5, whole genome shotgun sequence.